rnacentral:lncRNA from 10 species
GUGCCUGUGCUAGUGAACACUCAUUAGUGGAUUUCUUUCCUUUAUAGCUAAGCUUAUUAUUUCACCGGAUUUGGGGGGUAGUUCAUGCAUGAUGUAGCAAUUAUUUCACCUUUAAUGAUAAUUGUAAGUUCUUUUUUUUUCAAUAAUUGGGGACAAAGUUUUACAGUUAUUAGCGAAAUUAAUAGCAUAGGAGAGGUGGUUCAUUUUGAAGAUUUUUCUCCCUUUUGUAUUAUUAUAUUUUAUAUUAAGAUGGAAAGGUUAUAUUAUGAUGUAUUAUAUUUCUUAUGCUAAUUAAGCAUAAAAUGUGAUAUUUGAGACUUAGUUUGCUGUAAAUUAUAACUUAAUACUUAAAUGAAAAUGCUUUUAAAAUUAUUAAAAUGAUCACAAAUGUAGCUGAGGAAAUAACCCUUUUAUUUGUGUUGCAGCAUUGUGGAUUUGGGCCCAAAGACUUUACUUAAAUAAACAGUGUUGAAAGUUCAGCACCUAGUUUUUAAUCUAAUAUCAUAGUCAGUGCAAUUAUUCAGAGAGAUUUUUGGUUUUUAAUUUUUUUUUUUGUAGAGAUAGGGUCUUACUGUGUUGCCCUAGCUGGUCUCAAACUCCUGGCCUCAAGCAAUCCUUCUGCCUUGGCCUCCCAACAUGCUGGGAUUACAGGUGUGAGCCACUGCACUCAGCCAAAUAAAUCAUUUUUAAUGCAAGAUUUUAAUUUUCAGUUCUUAGUUUUAGAUUUUAAAAAAUAUUAUCAGAAUUUAUCUUAACAAAAUUAAAAUAUCGAAGUCAUAGCCAUAUCAUAUAUUAUUGUAAAUAAAAUAACUCUUUCAU